rnacentral:rRNA from 1 species
CCUACGGGCGGCUGCAGUGAGGAAUAUUGGUCAAUGGGCGCAAGCCUGAACCAGCCAUGCCGCGUGCAGGAUGAAGGUCCUACGGAUUGUAAACUGCUUUUAUACGGGAAGAAACCCUACUACGUGUAGUAGAUUGACGGUACCGUAAGAAUAAGGAUCGGCUAACUCCGUGCCAGCAGCCGCGGUAAUACGGAGGAUCCAAGCGUUAUCCGGAAUCAUUGGGUUUAAAGGGUCCGUAGGCGGCCUUAUAAGUCAGUGGUGAAAUCUCACGGCUCAACCGUGAAAUGGCCAUUGAUACUGUAGGGCUUGAAUUAUUGGGAAGUAACUAGAAUAUGUAGUGUAGCGGUGAAAUGCUUAGAUAUUACAUGGAAUACCGAUUGCGAAGGCAGGUUACUACCAAUGGAUUGACGCUGAUGGACGAAAGCGUGGGUAGCGAACAGGCUUAGAUACCCGUGUAGUC